UGUAGCGCUUUGGAUAGCGCACGUUGGACUUCUAAUCCAAAGGUCGUGGAUACGAAUCCCACCUGGAAAG